GUGGGGAAUCUUGCGCAAUGGGCGAAAGCCUGACGCAGCCAUGCCGCGUGAAUGAUGAAGGUCUUAGGAUUGUAAAAUUCUUUCACCGGGGACGAUAAUGACGGUACCCGGAGAAGAAGCCCCGGCUAACUUCGUGCCAGCAGCCGCGGUAAUACGAAGGGGGCUAGCGUUGCUCGGAAUUACUGGGCGUAAAGGGCGCGUAGGCGGAUCGUUAAGUCAGGGGUGAAAUCCCAGAGCUCAACUCUGGAACUGCACUCGAUACUAUUAAGCUUGAAUUCGGUAGAGGUUGGUGGAAUUCCCAGUGUAGAGGUGAAAUUCGUAGAUAUUGGGAAGAAUAUCCGUGGCGAAGGCGGCCAACUGGACCGACAUUGACGCUGAGGCGCGAAAGCGUGGGGAGCAAACAGGAUUAGAAACCCGUGUAGUCC
rnacentral:rRNA from 1 species